GUGGGAGGGGGUAGAAGGAAGAUGGAGUCUAGAGGUGCAAAGAAGAGAGGGAGUUUUUAGGUGAAAGUGGCAGAGUUGUAAUUGUGGUAGGAGGAUGGUGACUUAUGCAAUAAAGGAUUGUGAAAAAAGAUGGCCAAUGGAUCAGCUUCACAAAAAAUGCAAAUCUUCUGCUAUUUUGUUGAAUCUGGCAAACAGGAUGAUCGUUUAGAGUCAAAGACAUUUCUGCUGGUAGAACUUCCCAUGGCCUUCACACAUCACUACUGCUCCAAGCAGGAAGACUCAGUCCCUGCAAAGGAGUCUGAUUUCUCCAAUAGGCCCAGGUAAGUGUCCUGAGGAGACCUCUCAUGAUGGGAAGCCUGGAUCUGGAGGAACUCUUCUAGAUGCUCAUUAAGCUUACCUCUUUUUUUCUAACAGGAGAAUCUCCCUGUCCCUGAACUGAUCAUAUUCAAAGAGCUGACCUCCGAGAGAAGACAGCAACGUAACACGGCAGCCAACUCACUCUUACCUUGUUUCAUUUUUUUCACUGCUUCUUUUGGUACUGGAGAGGAAUAAGGAUAUUUGGGUUCUAGUCAAGUCAGCCCCUAAUUAACUAUCAACUGAAGAGUAGAACCCACAUACCUUAGCCAAAGAGACUGUGGCUGACAGGCCAUCCUGGCCAAUGGAAGUGAAGAUGAUAAUGAUGAUAAUAUUAACAAUAAUACCUGGUAAGCUAAAAGACUCAGUGGCUAGAUAACUAUGUGACCCUGGGCAAGUCACUUCACCCUGACUGCCUCGCCCUUGCACCUUUUCUGUCUUAGAACUGUGACUAAGACAGAAGGUAAGGGUUUGAA
rnacentral:lncRNA from 1 species